rnacentral:ncRNA from 1 species
AAGAUUGCUUUGACUAUCUGAGCAGGACUGUGGCCAUGGAAGUCAGAAACCAGUAAAGAGUGUGUAAAAACUCACCUGUUGAAUCAACUAGCCCUGAAAAUGGAUGGUACUGGA